rnacentral:rRNA from 1 species
CCUACGGGUGACAGCAGUGAGGAAUAUUGGUCAAUGGACGCGAGCCUGAACCAGCCAUGCCGCGUGCAGGAAGACGGCCCUAUGGGUUGUAAACUUCUUUUGUACGGGGGUAAACGCAGAUACGCGUAUCUUUCUGAAAGUAUCUUACGAAUAAGGAUCGGCUAACUCCGUGCCAGCAGCCGCGGUAAUACGGAGGAUUCGAGCGUUAUCCGGAUUUAUUGGGUUUAAAGGGUGCGUAGGCGGUCGGAUAAGUUAGAGGUGAAAUUCUGAGGCUCAACCUCCGAAUUGCCUUUGAUACUGGUCGGCUAGAGAGUAGUUGCGGUAGGCGGAAUGUGUGGUGUAGCGGUGAAAUGCUUAGAGAUCACACAGAACACCGAUUGCGAAGGCAGCUUACCAAGCUACUACUGACGUUGAGGCACGAAAGCGUGGGGAGCAAACAGGAUUAGAUACCCGGGUAGUC